rnacentral:rRNA from 1 species
GGAGCAAUCCAUGAGUACAGUGGCGUACGGGUGAGUAACACGUGGGUAAUCUACCCUUUGGUGGGGAAUAACUCUGGGAAACCGGAGCUAAUACCGCAUAAUCCUGAGAAGGAAAAGCAGCAAUGCACCGAAGGAGGAGCCCGCGGCCGAUUAGCCAGUUGGUAGGGUAAUGGCCUACCAAAGCAAAGAUCGGUAUCCGGCCUGAGAGGGCACACGGCCACACUGGCACUGAAACACGGGCCAGACUCCUACGGGAGGCAGCAGUGGGGAAUCUUGCACAAUGGGGGAAACUCUGAUGCAGCGACGCCGCGUGAGCGAUGAAGCCCUUCGGGGUGUAAAGCUCUUUCGGCAGGGAAGAUUAUGACGGUACCUGCAGAAACAGCUGCGGCUAACUACGUGCCAGCAGCCGCGGUAAUACGUAGGCAGCAAGCGUUGUUCGGAGUUACUGGGCGUAAAGGGUGUGUACGCGGCUUCUUAAGUUUGGUGUGAAAU